rnacentral:rRNA from 1 species
AAGACCUUGCGCUUUUGGAGCGGCCGAUGUCUGAUUAGCUUGUUGGUGAGGUAAAGGCUUACCAAGGCUUCGAUCAGUAGCUGGUCUGAGAGGACGGCCAGCCACACUGGGACUGAGACACGGCCCAGACUCCUACGGGAGGCAGCAGUGGGGAAUUUUGGACAAUGGGGGCAACCCUGAUCCAGCCAUGCCGCGUGAGUGAAGAAGGCCUUCGGGUUGUAAAGCUCUUUCGGCCGGAACGAAAUCGCAUCUUCUAAUACGGGGUGUGGAUGACGGUACCGGAAGAAGAAGCACCGGCUAACUACGUGCCAGCAGCCGCGGUAAUACGUAGGGUGCGAGCGUUAAUCGGAAUUACUGGGCGUAAAGCGUGCGCAGGCGGCUCUUCAAGUCAGAUGUGAAAGCCCCGGGCUUAACCUGGGAACU